CUCAGAUCUCAGAAAAAGUCUUCUACUAAUCGGUGACUCGUCCGUCGGAAAAUCUUGCCUCCUCCUCAGAUUCGCUGAUGAUUCUUAUAUCGACAGCUACAUCAGCACCAUUGGAGUUGAUUUCAAAAUCAGAACUGUGGAGCUGGAAGGGAAGACCAUCAAGCUGCAGAUUGUGAGUAUUUUUUUUUUUAAAUAUUAUGUCAAUUUCUACGGCUUUUUUUUUCCUGUUUGUAACCCUUGUUUCCGUCGGUGAUCUAACUAUACAUGUCCCAUCUUGCAAAAGCCCCAAAACUAUAUACUAAAAUGAAGAAGCUUCGUUAUGUUUUAAACAAAACAAUUAACGCACAUGCCAUGGCUUCUUUUAGUUCCAUUAUUAUUAUUAUUAUUAUAUAUGUGGCUUGGUUUCAACUAUAUUUAGGUUUGUACUUUCUUCUCAUUAAAACCAAUCCUAUUAUGAGUAUAAUGCCCCACAUCCCUCAGAUUACAAAUUUACUCACCUUUGGCGUAGUAAUCUGUGGACUGUGGUCCAUGGAAUGUGUACAGCAUAAACAACGAUAAUGAAUUCUUGAUUUCUCUUCAUGUGUCCUA